rnacentral:hammerhead_ribozyme from 1 species
GCACUGCUGAGGAGACCAAAUCAGAUCGAAACAGCUGUCCGGUGC